GUAGGGAAUAUUGGGCAAUGGGCGGAAGCCUGACCCAGCCAUGCCGCGUGAAGGAAGAAGGUCCUCUGGAUUGUAAACUUCUUUUGAAUGGGGAUAAUUUUAUGUAUAGGAUAUGUAAAUUGAAGGUACCAUUAGAAUAAGCACCGGCUAACUACGUGCCAGCAGCCGCGGUAAUACGUAGGGUGCAAGCGUUGUCCGGAAUUACUGGGUUUAAAGGGUGCGUAGGCGGUCUUGUAAGUCCUUGGUGAAAUUUUGUAGCUUAACUAUAAACAUGCCAAUGAUACUGUGAGACUAGAGUGAAAUUGAGGUACUUGGAACGAGUGGUGUAGCGGUGAAAUGCAUAGAGAUCACUCAGAACACCAAUUGCGAAGGCAGAGUACUAAAUUUUAACUGACGCUGAGGCACGAAAGUGUGGGGAUCAAACAGGAUUAGAAACCCUAGUAGUCC
rnacentral:rRNA from 1 species